rnacentral:tRNA from 2 species
UGAGGUGUAGCCAAGUGGUAAGGCAUCAGACUCUGAAUCUGACAUCCGUGGGUUCGAAUCCCUCCACCUCAGCCA